rnacentral:misc_RNA from 1 species
GAUGAAGAACGCAGCGAAAUGCGAUACGUAAUGUGAAUUGCAGAAUUCAGUGAAUCAUCGAGUCUUUGAACGCACAUUGCGCCCACUGGUAUUCCGGGGGGCAUGCCUGUCCGAGCGUCUCCAGGACGAAUCCUCGCGCGAGUGAACGCGCGGUCGUGGCGGAGGUGGCGUGCCCGAGCAGGGCGGCCACCGCGCUGGAAUCCAUGGGCGGACGCCUGCCGCGUGGCCGAGCGUGAUAUGACGCAUUGGCGCUCGUGCGCGGCGAGGCUGCCAGCCCUGGCCCGUCUGUCGGGCGGGGUAGAUCAACACGUGGGAACUCCUCGAAUCAGGUAGGGAUACCCGCUGAACUUAAGCAUAUCAAUAAGCGGAGGA